rnacentral:lncRNA from 1 species
CCUUGUUGCUGGACUUGUUUGGCGGGCAGCAUUAAUCAGCAGGAGUCAAACAGAAUUGGGAAUUCAUAUUCACAUCAUUUGACUUCUAAGGUGAAAGAGUAAGCCUCUGGAUCACGUACUGCUUCAAAUAAACAAAGCUUACAUCUAGGCUUCACGUCU